rnacentral:rRNA from 1 species
GACGAACGCUGGCGGCGUGCUCAACACAUGCAAGUCGAACGGAAAGGCCCCCUUGUGGGGUACUCGAGUGGCGAACGGGUGAGUAACACGUGAGUAACCUACCCUUGACUUUGGGAUAACUUCAGGAAACUGGGGCUAAUACCGGAUAGGAGCUCCUGCUGCAUGGUGGGGGUUGGAAAGUUUCGGCGGUUGGGGAUGGACUCGCGGCUUAUCAGCUUGUUGGUGGGGUAGUGGCUCACCAAGGCUUUGACGGGUAGCCGGCCUGAGAGGGUGACCGGCCACAUUGGGACUGAGAUACGGCCCAGACUCCUACGGGAGGCAGCAGUGGGGAAUAUUGCACAAUGGGCGGAAGCCUGAUGCAGCAACGCCGCGUGCGGGAUGACGGCCUUCGGGUUGUAAACCGCUUUCGCCUGUGACGAAGCGUGAGUGACGGUAAUGGGUAAAGAAGCACCGGCUAACUACGU